rnacentral:rRNA from 1 species
GCCCUGGCAGUCAGAGGCGAUGAAGGACGUGCUAAUCUGCGAUAAGCGUCGGUAAGGUGAUAUGAACCGUUAUAACCGGCGAUUUCCGAAUGGGGAAACCCAGUGUGUUUCGACACACUAUCAUUAACUGAAUCCAUAGGUUAAUGAGGCGAACCGGGGGAACUGAAACAUCUAAGUACCCCGAGGAAAAGAAAUCAACCGAGAUUCCCCCAGUAGCGGCGAGCGAACGGGGAGCAGCCCAGAGCCUGAAUCAGUGUGUGUGUUAGUGGAAGCGUCUGGAAAGGCGCGCGAUACAGGGUGACAGCCCCGUACACAAAAAUGCACAUACUGUGAGCUCGAUGAGUAGGGCGGGACACGUGGUAUCCUGUCUGAAUAUGGGGGGACCAUCCUCCAAGGCUAAAUACUCCUGACUGACCGAUAGUGAACCAGUACCGUGAGGGAAAGGCGAAAAGAACCCCGGCGAGGGGAGUGAAAAAGAACCUGAAACCGUGUACGUACAAGCAGUGGGAGCACGCUUAGGCGUGUGACUGCGUACCUUUUGUAUAAUGGGUCAGCGACUUAUAUUCUGUAGCAAGGUUAACCGAAUAGGGGAGCCGAAGGGAAACCGAGUCUUAACUGGGCGUUAAGUUGCAGGGUAUAGACCCGAAACCCGGUGAUCUAGCCAUGGGCAGGUUGAAGGUUGGGUAACACUAACUGGAGGACCGAACCGACUAAUGUUGAAAAAUUAGCGGAUGACUUGUGGCUGGGGGUGAAAGGCCAAUCAAACCGGGAGAUAGCUGGUUCUCCCCGAAAGCUAUUUAGGUAGCGCCUCGUGAAUUCAUCUCCGGGGGUAGAGCACUGUUUCGGCAAGGGGGUCAUCCCGACUUACCAACCCGAUGCAAACUGCGAAUACCGGAGAAUGUUAUCACGGGAGACACACGGCGGGUGCUAACGUCCGUCGUGAAGAGGGAAACAACCCAGACCGCCAGCUAAGGUCCCAAAGUCAUGGUUAAGUGGGAAACGAUGUGGGAAGGCCCAGACAGCCAGGAUGUUGGCUUAGAAGCAGCCAUCAUUUAAAGAAAGCGUAAUAGCUCACUGGUCGAGUCGGCCUGCGCGGAAGAUGUAACGGGGCUAAACCAUGCACCGAAGCUGCGGCAGCGACGCUGAUGCGUUGUUGGGUA